GACAGAGGCCUCAAGCGUUAGGCGGAAUCACUGGGCUUAAAGCGCGCGCAGGCGGUUUCUUAAGUCUGAUGUGAAAGCCCACGGCUCAACCGUGGAGGGUCAUUGGAAACUGGGGAACUUGAGUGCAGAAGAGAAAAGCGGAAUUCCACGUGUAGCGGUGAAAUGCGUAGAGAUGUGGAGGAACACCAGUGGCGAAGGCGGCUUUUUGGUCUGUAACUGACGCUGAGGCGCGAAAGCGUGGGGAGCAAACAGG
rnacentral:rRNA from 1 species